AGGAAUAAGCACUCGGAUAAAAGAUGGCAGCGGUGCUAAGCGCAACUAUGCAGGAGUGCAAGGAGCACAUGUUGAUACAGAAGAUGCCUCCACAGCUGGAAAAGACAUCUGUGAUGAUGAUGAAGAAAUGACUGACCGGGAUCCUUGGGACAUUAUGUUUUUAACAAAACUGGCAUAUUUAGGAUCCGCAAUACUUUGGGUAUGUUCCUUCAGCCUGGGAACAAUACCGGUAUUUCCUUAUUAAAGGGAUGCUAUUAUUUA